rfam:Ipomoea nil DNA, scaffold: scaffold2848, cultivar: Tokyo-kokei standard.
GGAUCUGUGGUGCAAUGGUAGCGUGUUUGACUCCAGAUUAGAAGGUUGCGUGUUCAAUUUAUGUCGGGUUCA